rnacentral:lncRNA from 13 species
UGAUUGAUGGUGAACAUCAAGUGUUUUUUAAGAUACAAAGUGUUCCUUUUAACCCUUCUCUCCUCUCCUCUGUCCCUGCCUGCCCUCUCUACUGGUCUGUGUGACCUUUAACCUCUACCCUCUGACCCCUCUGACCUGUCUCCUUGGGAACGGCAGACAAAGCGGCCAUGUCUUACCUCUGAGCAGUCCACCAUCUUUAUGCUCUCCCAGACUUCAAGCAGACUCAGUUUCUAACCCAACUACCUGACUAGGAGGUCAGGUGACCCUCUCUCAACCUAUCCGCAUGCCCUCUCCUCCCUCUGUGUCUCUGCAUGGACAUGUAGUGGUGAAUGCUUACAGGUGCCUGUUGACUUGCAUGUCCAUGCCGUGCAUUAAGUGUACUUUGAAAGAGCGUUGGUUAGAAUGCUCAUUCAUAAAUACAGAAACAACGUAUCUGACAUGAAACAGAUAUUUGAAGCCCCUUCAAAAUGGCAAGUGUCAGUCUUGGUGUGUGUGUGUUUGUGCAGAUCUGUCUAUGUUGAGCGUGUGUAUCUUGCUGUCCACAGCGAAUGAGGGCUGAUAGAAACUUUGAUGGAGUUAUGACCUACAGCCGGGACUCCCUGCUAGAUGGGGGGGUUGCCCUGUCCACCUCAGAGACCUAGCCUCACCACGAAUGCAGACAAGCUGUAUAACGGCCAGCUAUCGGAGUUCACCCCGCUGGCAUCUCUCCACGCGCCCACGCGCAGGAGGGCCGACCACCAGAACCCCAUUCCCAGAAGGUCUGAACCCUUCACCAAAAAACUAAUGUUCACCCACUGGAGGGGCGGGCCCGACUACUGCACUUUCACCCCACUCCUCCGAUUCGCCGGCAACUCCCGUCACUCUGGGGCUGGCUAUGCCAACAAUGGGGCAGGGCCUGAGACCUCGGUGUAGUCUAGAAUGGAGUUUAGUCUGAUUUAGACUGGAAGUCUAGACCAAGAUUUCAGUGUUGAGCAAUUGACCACUGGAACAAUCUGUCCUCUAGACAAUAGAUACUUAAUCUAGACGCGCACAGUUACCAAUGUCAUUGUGAAAAAGCAAACAAACACCAAAUACACACAGAAGGACGAUCCACAUGAUCCACAGUCCUACUGCUGUGUUGUGUUAGCACAAGGAGCUGAGUGAACUGAACAGACUUGGCUCCAGGCAAGCAGUGCCUGUGGAUUGGUGGAAAGGGCCUUGGCUCCACCCAUUAAUGUCUACUGUGGGUCCGAACCCUCAGACCCACCCUGCAGUGUGUGUGUGUGUGUGUGUGUGUGUGUGUGUGUGUGUGUGUGUGUGUGUGUGUGUGUGUGUGUGUGUGUGUGUCACUCCCCCGUAUCUGUCUGUCAACUGUCUGUCAGUGAUGUGGUCAUUUAAAGUGUUUGUCAUGAAGGAUGUCACUCCCCCUUAUCUCCCUGCCGACUGUCAACUCUCUGUCAGUGAUGAUGUCAUUUAAAGUGUUUGUCAUGAAGGAUGUCACUCCCCCGUAUCUCCCUGCCGACUGUCAACUGUCUGUCAGUGAUGGUGUCAUUUGAAGUGUCAUAAAGCAGGGAUGCCCAGUAUGAAUGGAAGAUGUUCAGAGGUAUUGCAUGUGCUUUAACUGACCACACUUUCCUGUUUUUCUUUUGUCUUGUCUUUUCCUCUCUUCCUCUCUCUUUCUGUCCUGCUCUAUAGAACAAACUGGUGUUGCCUCUGUGCAUAUCUCUUAUCCAGGAACACCCCAUAAGACACUAGUCUUUUCCAGUUCAGUUGUAAGUGGCCAGGCCGUGAUAGUGGUUUAUCUCUACUGGACUAGAGACAGUUCUGUGUGUGUAGCAUCCCGUGUCAUAGACUGUCCUUGUGUCUACUGUGGAGUGAUGUGAUUAUACCUCCAUUCCCCCUUGUAACCGUCCCAUUUCCUGACAUGGAAGCUGAGGCAUCCUGCCUCACGUAGUGCUAAGGACCCACAGUGGGAAACCAGUAUGCAUGGGAAUCCUUUUCCGCCUUAACAUCUACACAGUGUUUCCUUUGAAAUACACAGUAGUCUGGAACCAAAGGCUCAGAAAAUACUUUUUCAAUGGCUUGCCUUGCUGGUUAUUGCCUUACACUGAGACUGGGUGGGACAGAGGAAGGUGGACAGUAUUAGAUAGGAGAGAGAACCUACUUUGUUUCUGGGCUUUAACGUUGUCCAUGUAGAUAUCUAACAUCUCUCACACUCAGAUCUGAAGCCUUUAAAGAGCAGUGGAUCUCUGUUACAGAAAUACAACAUGUAGAAUGUAGACAUUAUGCUCAGCUGCUUUGCUCUGUCCUUUGGCAUAAAUAAUAUAGAACAUACCCAUAGAAGUCUCACACGAUGCGUGAGAGCCUCAUGAAUGUGUUAUAAGUGUGUUAUAAUUCUAUCACAAGAGUCUGUCAGGGGUCUUAACAUCUCAUCUGUCAAUGUGUGCUCUCUCCCUCCCUCAGAUCCUCUCUGAUGCUUUUAUGUUUCAUUUUCUUUCUUCAUGUGUUUUUUUUACCUCUACCAUUUCUCCACUUGUUCCUUUUGAAGUGAUGCUCGUGUGGAUCUGUCCUCUCGAGCCUCACUACAUCUCCUCCUCCUCACUGCCGCCUCCUCUCAUCCUCCACUCCUCCUCUCAUCCAUUCAUCCAUUCACUCCUUCAUCCGGUCAUGCAUCCCUCCAUCCGUCUCCUAAGAACACAGUCUGUGUGGUGGGUGUAAGGAGAGAGAGAACGAGAAAGGGAGAUGGAGGGGGGACUGUACCAAAACCAAGGUUUUUCUAGACACAUUUAGAUUUCUUGUGGUCCUGUGGUGCAUUGUGGGAUCUGUUCAAACCAAGAGGAACAAAAGUAUAUUGAUGUCCCAUAUAUAGAAAGGGAUGUUGUAAUACACAGUGUGUGUGUGUGUGUGUGUGUGUGUGUGUGUGUGUGUGUGUGUGUGCAGAUAUCUGUUUCAUUGAAAGCAGCAAUGAUAUUUAAGAUGGCCGUCUGUUAUUAGGUGGUAUUAUGAAUCUUCACUGAAAUGUAAAGACACUAAACAUUAUACCACAGUCAGAACUAUAACACUGGACAUUACACCAGAGUCAGAACUAUAACACUGGACAUUACACCACAGUCAGAACUAUAACACUGGACAUUACACCACAGUCAGAACUAUAACACUGGACAUUACACCACAGUCAGAACUAUAACACUGGACAUUACACCAGAGUCAGAACUAUAACACUGGACAUUACACCACAGUCAGAACUAUAACACUGGACAUUACACCACAGUCAGAACUAUAACACUGGACAUUACACCNNNNNNNNNNGUGUGUGUGUGUGUGUGUGUGUGUGUGUGUGUGUGUGUGUGUGUGUGCAGAUAUCUGUUUCAUUGAAAGCAGCAAUGAUAUUUAAGAUGGCCGUCUGUUAUUAGGUGGUAUUAUGAAUCUUCACUGAAAUGUAAAGACACUAAACAUUAUACCACAGUCAGAACUAUAACACUGGACAUUACACCAGAGUCAGAACUAUAACACUGGACAUUACACCACAGUCAGAACUAUAACACUGGACAUUACACCACAGUCAGAACUAUAACACUGGACAUUACACCACAGUCAGAACUAUAACACU